rnacentral:rRNA from 1 species
CCUACGGGGGGCAGCAGUGAGGGAUAUUGCACAAUGGGGGAAACCCUGAUGCAGCGACGCCGCGUGAGGGAAGACGUAUUUCGUAUUGUAAAGCUCUGUCCGCAGUGAAGAUAAUGACGGUAGCUGAGUAGGAAGCCCCGGCUAACUACGUGCCAGCAGCCGCGGUAAUACGUAGGGAGCAAGCGUUGUCCGGAUUUACUGGGUGUAAAGGGUGCGUAGACGGCAGUGCAAGUCUGGAGUGAAAGGCGGGGGCUCAACCCGUGGACUGCUUUGGAAACUGUACGGCUGGAGUGAAGGAGAGGCAGGUGGAAUUCCUGGUGUAGCGGUGAAAUGCGUAGAGAUUGGGAGGAACACCAGUGGCGAAGGCGGCCUGCUGGGCUUUAACUGACGCUGAAGCUCGAAAGCGUGGGGAGCAAACAGGAUUAGAUACCCCUGUAGUC